ensembl:misc_RNA 7SK 7SK RNA
AGAUGUGAAGGUGAUCUGGCUGUGACUUCUGACACCCCACUGGUCACCAGGGUUGGUUUGCCUGGUCUGGCUCUUUAGGCAGGUAUCUCCUACUUCCCUCACAGCUCCAGGUGUGUCUCUCCCAAAGCUGUGUGCUCGGUCCAAGAGGAUGACCUGCCCUGAUAGAGGAAGAUCACACUUAGGUUACAGGUAUGAGUAGCUGUGCUCCCAUGCCAGAACCUCCAGACAAGCUCUCAGGGUCCAUUUUUUUGGGAAAAUGUAGGGGAGCCAAGCUUCUAGGAUUCCAUAGACACAUAUGUGGGAGUCUACCCUCCCCCUCCUU